AGAGUUUGAUCCUGGCUCAGGACGAACGCUGGCGGCGUGCUUAACACAUGCAAGUCGAACGAGACGAUUGAAAGCUUGCUUUUGAAAGUCGAGUGGCAAACGGGUGAGUAACGUGUAGACAACCUGCCGUAAAGAUGGGGACAACAGUCCGAAAGGACUGCUAAUACCGAAUGUUGUAAAUCUUCCGCAUGGAAGACUUACUAAAGGUGGCCUCUGCUUGUAAGCUAUCGCUUUACGAUGGGUCUGCGUCUGAUUAGCUGGUUGGUGGGGUAACGGCCUACCAAGGCGACGAUCAGUAGCCGGUCUGAGAGGAUGAACGGCCACAUUGGAACUGAGACACGGUCCAGACUCCUACGGGAGGCAGCAGUGGGGAAUCUUCCGCAAUGGGCGCAAGCCUGACGGAGCAACGCCGCGUGAGUGAAGAAGGGUUUCGACUCGUAAAGCUCUGUUGUCGGGGACGAACGUGGAGACAGCGAAUAGCCGUUUCCAAUGACGGUACCUGACGAGGAAGCCACGGCUAACUACGUGCCAGCAGCCGCGGUAAUACGGAAGGUCCGGGCGUUAUCCGGAUUUAUUGGGUUUAAAGGGAGCGUAGGCCGGAGAUUAAGCGUGUUGUGAAAUGUAGACGCUCAACGUCUGCACUGCAGCGCGAACUGGUUUCCUUGAGUACGCACAAAGUGGGCGGAAUUCGUGGUGUAGCGGUGAAAUGCUUAGAUAUCACGAAGAACUCCGAUUGCGAAGGCAGCUCACUGGAGCGCAACUGACGCUGAAGCUCGAAAGUGCGGGUAUCGAACAGGAUUAGAUACCCUGGUAGUCCGCACGGUAAACGAUGGAUGCCCGCUGUUGGUCUGAAUAGGUCAGCGGCCAAGCGAAAGCAUUAAGCAUCCCACCUGGGGAGUACGCCGGCAACGGUGAAACUCAAAGGAAUUGACGGGGGCCCGCACAAGCGGAGGAACAUGUGGUUUAAUUCGAUGAUACGCGAGGAACCUUACCCGGGCUUGAAUUGCAGAGGAAGGAUUUGGAGACAAUGACGCCCUUCGGGGCCUCUGUGAAGGUGCUGCAUGGUUGUCGUCAGCUCGUGCCGUGAGGUGUCGGCUUAAGUGCCAUAACGAGCGCAACCCCUCUCCUUAGUUGCCAUCAGGUUAAGCUGGGCACUCUGGGGACACUGCCACCGUAAGGUGUGAGGAAGGUGGGGAUGACGUCAAAUCAGCACGGCCCUUACGUCCGGGGCUACACACGUGUUACAAUGGCAGGUACAGAGAGACGGUCCCUUGCAAAACGGAUCAAAUCCUUAAAGCCUGUCUCAGUUCGGACUGGGGUCUGCAACCCGACCCCACGAAGCUGGAUUCGCUAGUAAUCGCGCAUCAGCCAUGGCGCGGUGAAUACGUUCCCGGGCCUUGUACACACCGCCCGUCAAGCCAUGAAAGCCGGGGGCGCCUAAAGUCCGUGACCGUAAGGAGCGGCCUAGGGCGAAACUGGUAAUUGGGGCUAAGUCGUAACAAGGUA
rnacentral:rRNA from 1 species